CCACCGGACCACGGCCGCGGGCGCGCGCUCUUCCUCAGUCGGCGGAGGAGGACGACGGAACCAGCGCGCGCGUUUUUCCUCUCCGGAUUUACGAUCUCGCCGGCGCCGCCUUCUUCUUCUCCUCUUCGAGCAUCUUCGUCUCAGCUUCUUUACAUCUCUGGAGCAUCGAAAAGUUGAUCGUCUCGAUUUUGCUUUUUCCCACAGGCGACGACUUCGCCGGCGGCGCUCUACCGCCGAUCGCCGUCGCUUCGAGUUCCUUUUCCACCGGCACCCGUCUUCGGUCGUGGCGCUUUCCUAGAGUUCUACUCCUAGGUGUACCUUCAAGUUGAAAUGAUCGCCCACCAGACGUGGAUAGAGCGGGGAUUAUAGAGAAAGAAUUCUCGAAUUUAGCGGUGAUUUUAUCUAUUGAUUUCUUCUUCGAAUCCUAACCCCUGUCUCUCUCUCCGUCGUCGGUUUCCGUCGCAGUUGCUGGAGGUGCACUGGCCGCCCCUGUUUUUCAGUGAGUGAGCUCGAAGUAAUGUGAACUUUGCUCGUUUUUCCUUUACUGGCUCCAAUCUUCAGUGUCAUUGUCUCUGACAAGUUCUCCUUACGAUUCCAUCGUCAUUCAAGGCCCUUUGUUGUUUUUCUUCAAGGUAUUGGUUAUAGUCGCUUUGCACGUGAGACUGAGACCGAGAAUUCUAGAGUGAAAGCAGCAUCUUAUUGAGGAUAUGUUAUUGAUUUGAGCCUGCCUGGAUGAUGUUGUAGUCGUGUGAUUUUAAGUUGCUGCUUCGUGCUUGCGUUUUCAUUGCUAAGCUGAGAUGCCUGCCAUAUGUUUGUCGAAAUGCCUAGAUGAAGUUGAUGCUAAGUAUUCUUUUGCAUUAGCAUCGAUUUGAUUGUUCUGUAUCUAGACUGAAACAUGACUGAUUGAUUCUCUUAUAACAUUCAUAAAUUGAGCAACUCUGAUUUGUGGCCAAGACCUCUCUUUCUGUUGGUGAUACGGUUUACUUUGUUCUCAGCGAUUAAAUACUGCUUUGGUUUUGUGACUGAAUUUUCAUCUAAACUGAGAGCCCUGGAUAUAUUUUUAAGAUUGAUGUGUUCAAAGUGCGUGUAUAAAAUUUUUUUAGGUGUUAACAUAGAGAAAUAUUCUCUAGCUGCAUAUGUGAGUUGUAGCUUUUCUUUUCGCAUACUAGUUGCUGCUCCAUUUUGGGUUUGGUUUAGACUUCACUUCACAUGCGAUGGACACGUUGGAGCAUAGUGUGCGUCUUGCUUGGGUUGUAUGUGCAAGUGCAUAGUCACUAUUAGCUUGCAUAAUCUUCAUCUCGGUAUGUGCUAUUUGUACACCUGCCGCAUUGUGAGCUCGCUGAAUAUGUCUAUUCUUACCAUACAUGGCUCAAGUUUACUGGAUUCAUUGUUGUUGUUCUUAUUGUACAUGAUCAGGAAUAUGUUAAUUCUUUUGGCUGUGAGUGUCGUACAAUUUCAGAACAUGCUGUAUUAUGAAUGUUGUGUAUAUUCAUAAUAUGUAAUAUGCUAUUGUCAGGUUAUAAGUUUUGUCCGUGACUUAAAUUUGCUGGAUUCAUUCAUGUUUAUGUCCGAUGUCUAUAUCUGUUUGUUAUUUAAAUAACAAUUUCUAUGUGUUAUCUUAGUCAUAUAAGUUGAGGUAUGUUUAACUUUUGAGGAGAUAAUCAUGUUGUCAUGCUUGAAUUUGCUGAAAUUAAACAUUUGUCUGCUGUCCAAGCAUUGAUGAUCUUCAUUUGACUUCAAUUUGUUCUCAUCUUGAUCACGUAGUCCCUGUGCACUUGCAGGAGGAUAUAUUUCAAGCCCAUUACUUACUGAAUAAUCAUGCACUUUGGCCUUGAAUGUUCUGAUUUUGUCCUGGAUUUUGCUCACUGGGCUGUUUUAAUCUUGGGUGUGCUAGUUUAAUACUCAUUUGAGUUUGGUUUUGAUUACCUAUAAUAAGGUGACAAUUUAUACUGGAUUUGUUGGUCAUGGGGACAUAUUUUGGUAUUAUUAAGGUGGGUAACAUGUAAAUCUUGCGAGUUUGAUGAGCUGGACGCUAUAGCAAAUUCUCUUUUGAGGG
rnacentral:lncRNA from 1 species